GGACGAACGCUGGCGGCGUGCUUAACACAUGCAAGUCGAGCGGUAAGGCCCUUCGGGGUACACGAGCGGCGAACGGGUGAGUAACACGUGGGUGAUCUGCCUCGCACUCUGGGAUAAGCCUGGGAAACUGGGUCUAAUACCGGAUACGACCAGSSKMUGCAUGKKSSUUGGUGGAAAGGUUUACUGGUGCGAGAUGGGCCCGCGGCCUAUCAGCUUGUUGGUGAGGUAACGGCUCACCAAGGCGACGACGGGUAGCCGACCUGAGAGGGUGACCGGCCACACUGGGACUGAGACACGGCCCAGACUCCUACGGGAGGCAGCAGUGGGGAAUAUUGCACAAUGGGCGAAAGCCUGAUGCAGCGACGCCGCGUGAGGGAUGACGGCCUUCGGGUUGUAAACCUCUUUCGACAGGGACGAAGCGCAAGUGACGGUACCUGUAGAAGAAGCACCGGCUAACUAC
rnacentral:rRNA from 1 species